rnacentral:rRNA from 1 species
UACAGAGGGGGCAAGCGUUGUUCGGAAUUACUGGGCGUAAAGGGCGCGUAGGCGGCCUUCUAAGUCGAACGUGAAAUCCCCGGGCUCAACCCGGGAACUGCGUCCGAGACUGGAAGGCUCGAAUCCGGGAGAGGGAUGUGGAAUUCCAGGUGUAGCGGUGAAAUGCGUAGAUAUCUGGAGGAAUACCGGUGGCGAAGGCGGCAUCCUGGACCAUUACUGACGCUGAGGCGCGAAAGCUAGGGGAGCAAACGGGG